rnacentral:rRNA from 1 species
AUUGAACGCUAGCGGGAUGCCUUACACAUGCAAGUCGAACGGAGUGGCGAACGGGUGAGUAAUGUAUCGGAACGUGCCCAGUAGCGGGGGAUACCUACGCGCAAGCGUAGCUAAUACCGCAUACUAUUGGCGCGGCCGAUAUCGGAUUAGCUCGUUGGUGGGGUAACGGCUCACCAAGGCGACGAUCCGUAGCUGGUGUGGGAGGACGACAAGCCACACAGAGACUGAAAAACGGCCCAGACGCCUACGGGAGGCAGCAGUGGGGAAUUUUGGACAAUGGGGGAAACCCUGAGGCAGCCAUCCCGAAUGUGCGAUGAAGGCCUUCGGGUUGUAAAGCACUUUUGGCAAGAAAGCGGUACCGGCAGAAUAAGCACCGGCUAACUACGUGCCAGCAGCCGCGGUAAUAC